CCAAGGUGCCAGUAGCGAAGAUGGAUUCAGGUGACACCAAAAUUUAAAGAUGACCACAGAAAACCACAAUCAUUCCAGUGCGUGUGGUAUAGCAAAGAAAAUAGAUUGUGAACUAAAUGGCACAUGCUAUGGAUUUCAUAAAUUUGCUUGCUACUUGAAAUUGUUGAAGAGAUGUUUUGUCUGAACAUGUUUCAGUUUAAUGGAUUGCUCACAAGCUGAUUACUAUCAUCAUGAAAAAGGGGCCAAGAGUGUGACUCAUGAUUUUGCUAUGGAAACAGCAGCCUUUAGUCCCUUUUGGUGUCCUGGGGCUGAUAAAAUCUCUUCAAAGUCUUCCUGGAGCCACAUGUCAGAGUCUACAUAGCAAAGGCAAAUGCUUUCCUGGGCAAUCCCAACUGAACUCUAUCAACUAUA